AUUAUUAGGUGAUCGAGGUCAGCCAUUUUUCUGCAUCCAGCAGCCACAAUAGUCAUCGGUGUACUGCCACAGGAGGAGUUAUUUUACAGAGCAACCUGUUUUCUUCCUCGCAGGUUUAACGUCGAUUAUUUAAUUGUUUUACUAUCUUUUCUAAAUUUAAAAUCUAGAACUCCGCAUGUGUUAGUAAUAGUGUGGACCUUGUUAGAAAUUGUGUUAAUUUAAAUUUUUGAGAUUAAUAAAUGAAGAUUUGUAUGGUA